UGGGGAAUAUUGCACAAUGGGCGCAAGCCUGAUGCAGCCAUGCCGCGUGUGUGAAGAAGGCCUUCGGGUUGUAAAGCACUUUCAGCGAGGAGGAAGGUGGUGAGCUUAAUACGCUCAUCAAUUGACGUUACUCGCAGAAGAAGCACCGGCUAACUCCGUGCCAGCAGCCGCGGUAAUACGGAGGGUGCAAGCGUUAAUCGGAAUUACUGGGCGUAAAGCGCACGCAGGCGGUUUGUUAAGUCAGAUGUGAAAUCCCCGGGCUCAACCUGGGAACUGCAUUUGAAACUGGCAAGCUAGAGUCUCGUAGAGGGGGGUAGAAUUCCAGGUGUAGCGGUGAAAUGCGUAGAGAUCUGGAGGAAUACCGGUGGCGAAGGCGGCCCCCUGGACGAAGACUGACGCUCAGGUGCGAAAAGCGUGGGGAGCAAAACAGGAUUAGAUACCCUGGUAGUCCACGCUGUAAAACGAUGUCGAUUUUGGAGGUUGUGCCCUUGAGGCGUGGCUUCCGGAGCUAACGCGUUAAAUCGACCGCCUGGGGAGUACGGCCGCAAGGUUAAAAACUCAAAAGGAAUUGACGGGGUCAUAGCUGUU
rnacentral:rRNA from 1 species